ensembl:rRNA 5S_rRNA 5S ribosomal RNA
GUCCAUGGUCAUAUCACCCUGAACAUGCCUGAUCUCGUCUGAUCUUGGAAGCUGAGCAGGGUCAGGCCUGGUUAGUAUUUGGAUGGUAGAAAUGGCAGUGUCUCUUCAGAUUCAAAGAUGAGGGUCAUGGAGU